UUGGGGGGUUUACAUGGCAGUCGAGCNGAGCGAUUUUGAGGAAGUUUUCGGAUGGAAUCGAAAUUGACUUAGCGGCGGACGGGUGAGUAACACGUGGGUAAUCUGCCUUAUACAGGGGGAUAACAGUUAGAAAUGACUGCUAAUACCGCAUAAGCGCACGGGGACGCAUGUUUCUGUGCGAAAAACUCCGGUAGUAUAAGAUGAGCCCGCGUCUGAUUAGCUGGUUGGUGGGGUAACGGCCUGCCAAGGCGACGAUCAGUAGCCGGCCUGAGAGGGUGAACGGCCACAUUGGGACUGAGACACGGCCCAAACUCCUACGGGAGGCAGCAGUGGGGAAUAUUGCACAAUGGGGGAAACCCUGAUGCAGCGACGCCGCGUGAGUGAAGAAGUAUUUCGGUAUGUAAAGCUCUAUCAGCAGGGAAGAAAAAAGACGGUACCUGACUAAGAAGCCCCGGCUAACUACGUGCCAGCAGCCGCGGUAAUACGUAGGGGGCAAGCGUUAUCCGGAUUUACUGGGUGUAAAGGGAGCGUAGACGGCGCGGCAAGUCUGAAGUGAAAGGCAGGGGCUUAACCCCUGAACUGCUUUGGAAACUGCCAUGCUAGAGUGCUGGAGAGGUAAGUGGAAUUCCUAGUGUAGCGGUGAAAUGCGUAGAUAUUANGAGGAACACCAGUGGCGAAGGCGGCUUACUGGACAGUAACUGACGUUGAGGCUCGAAAGCGUGGGGAGCAAACAGGAUUAGAUACCCUGGU
rnacentral:rRNA from 1 species